GUGGGGUUCGUGUUGUUUAUUCUUUAGUUUUCUAUGUUGUGUCAUGUUUACUAUUGUUUUUCUGUUUGUCUUUUUCAUUUUUAGCCAUGGCGUUGUCAGUUUGUUUUAGAUUUAUGAGUUUGACUAUCCCUUUGGUAUCUUUCGUCCCUCUUUUAUAGAUCUUGAAUACAACGACAUUCACUUAUACACUUUUUUACGGAUUAAAAUACAACAUAGCCGUCUAUUUCGAAGCGUUCUAUGGUUGUGUAAUAAUUUUUUAAUACUAAAAACUUUCAAAUGUGUAUUCGGAUGUAAAUUUAUUUUCUAUGAUUUUGUAAUUAAAGUCUGAUCUUUUUCUUUGAAGUGGCUGACCAUAUUCACCCUAAAACUAUUGUGGUAUGGAUUUCAUUCAUUUAUUUACUAAGUGGUUCUGUUCAAAGCAAAGACUUAUGCAACAAAUGAUUUUGUAAAUAAGUCAAGGUCAAUGUACCAUAUAUGGAUAAUUAGUCUUAAGCUAUAUUUUUAUGAAUGACACCUCCAUGCUUUUUAGAAUGUUUUCACUAGCUAUCCUUAAGUGUUCA
rnacentral:lncRNA from 1 species